CCCCUUGUGGUGUAGUUGGCUAUCACGUUCGGCUGUAAACAUACCGAAAGGUCACCGGCUCGAUUCCGGUCGAGGGGA
rnacentral:tRNA from 1 species